GCUACCUGCAAAACCAAAGACAGCCUGAUGAAACACUGAGCCAAAGGCAGCACAAAGGGGACUACAGCUGCAGGAAACAGAACAGGCUCAUCUGGGCCAUGCAGGGAUCGCUGCUUGGCAAACCUGCCCACGGAAACCCAACCCAGGUGGCUCAGAUUUGGACAAAGCUGGGCCAAAAUCACCCACAGGUCUCCAAUCCCUCUGUGGGCUGCAGAUUCCUGUCACACUGAGGUUUUCUGCAAGAGCUCUCCCACCUCAGCACUGAGAGGUGGGAGAGGCCGUUGGCAAAUCCAUGAGAGAGGGAGGAGCUGCACAGCAAAUACAGAGGGGAUUUCAGCAAGCUCUGUACAAAUGAAGAUUCAAGGUGCUUUCCCAGAGCUAAGGGAAACCUUAAAGACUGAUAAGGAACAAAUAUUGUUCUUCAUUCACAUAUCCUGCAUCAGGUAUAAAACCACAUCCAGUACCACUUAAAGCCCGUCAGGUUUUAAGUGGCAAACAAACGUCAAGGCCCUCAGUCCUGAAAAACAACUCCUUUUAUUUUAGAUUUUUAUAAAAGAAAUGCUUCUCCAUGAACAAGGGAGAGGCUGUACUGGGUAGCCAUACCCCUACACAAGGUUUCCAGGUAUCAAUGGAACGACACAAGGUUUUCCAGCUAGAGGGAACACCUUGAAUCCAGGAUUCCUGAGCAGGGCUCCAGCAGGUCUGCAGUGUGUCUCACAAUCACUUCCCACCAACCCCCAAAGGGCCAGUGUGGGCUGUAAAAUCCCUAUUAGAAGUUCCUCCCUUGCCCAGGGGGAUACUCUGCCUGGGGAAGCGAAACUCCAGAACCUCCAACCUCACGUUAUUUAUGUGCAUUUAGUCAUUUCUGCAUUUUUUUUUUAAACCUGGGGCUGAUCCCGAGGACACUCACUGUAAAUGGGGCCAAGGGGAAACAGGGAUGCACAUUCACAGCCUCCCUCAGCUCCUUCCCUCCGGGGCUUCGUGAGCAUCUCAUUAUCCUCCCAUCAGACACCACAGGUUUUCCUGUGAGCUGGGCAGGUUCCCAAAGGCCAGAUCCCCCACCGUCUCCAAAGCCACCAGCACUUCCAAAGGAGGGGUAAAGCCCUGGGAAAUGAGCAUGGCACUGAUGGAAAAGAGCAGUUCAAAUUACAAGGAACAGGUGAAAUAUGCUGUUCCCUUCGGCAGAGAGGGGCGGAGCUGGGGGACCCCUUCCCACCUUUCAAGUCCAGAGCCCCAAAAGGGGGUUUCUCCAGGCCUGUGCAGGGCAGAAGAUGGGUGAUUUACCUAUUUAUUUAUUAUUUAACUGAGCCUGCAGGUCGCCAGCUGCUACAUCCCCGGUAACGCUACCUGGGUCACAUCCACCAGUCAGCUCCAGCCUCUCAGGACACACCUGGAGAAGAGCCGAGAGCUGCACCAGGUGGAAUAUGUGCCUGGAGAAACAGGAGCAGGUCAGGACCGGAGCCACAGCUCAGCCAAGCCAGCACAGAGGCCAAAGCCGGGCCCAGUGCUGAGCACUGAGAGCGAGGAGACCAGGAGCUCCUGGCUGCACGCUCAUUAGGAAAAAAGAAGGAGCUAUAUUUAGCCCAACCAUGUCUCCUAAUAUAAAAUAUUGAUAGUCUUUUCUUGGUUUUGCAGGAAGAGAGUAAUUAGCCACCAUUGGAGAAAACACAGGAAAAAUUUCAGGCCAAAGUGAGCAUCCUCAGGCACUGCUUUUUUCUGCGGUGACUGGCAAACAUUCCCACUGUAUUUACAACACAAACGGGUUUCAGAGGCCUCUGAGCCCAGAAAAGCACUUUUAGUCAUCCUGAUCCCUCUGGAGGUUGUCCCUGUGCUGCCUGGGCCAGUCAGUGGCCCCAGCAGAGAGCUCAGGGUGUUCCUGGAGCACCCUGACACAGCAGUGAGCAGCACUGCCAGCUCCUCUUGAGCUGCCGAGGGGAAAAGAGAGGGGAAAAUAACCUUUCCUUUCUGAACUAGGGACGUAAUUCAACUGAGGGCUGAGGCCUCAUAACCUUUGUAAGGGGAAAAAAGAAGAGGACUGACGUGCUUGAAAGUUUCCCUUGGAGCAAGAGCGGUGCACAGACUUUUCCAGCACAGAGAGCAGGGCCAGGCAACCGGCCAAGCACCCCCAGGCUGAAUGCAGUUUGCAUCUCCAUUUACACAGCUCUCCAUCAGAUACAUGCAUGCCAUUUGGAAAAAAUGCCAGCACAUGUAUGCAGGCUUCCCAAAACACAAGGGAGGCACGGCAGAGCGGGAUCCCAGAGGAGGAGAAAUGGGAGGGCCGGCACAGCCUCCCAAAAUCCAGCACAGGGAAGUCGUGGGAAGAUCACAGAGGGACAGGAGUCUCUUCUCUCUGCUCAGGGCAGGAUGAUAAAACCUGAGCAGUGCAGAAAAGCAACACCAGCAGCACAGAUCCCUGUCAGUGUGGCAGCACCUCUCAGAGAACAGCAGGAGGGUGCUCCAGCCAAAAGCUUCCCUGAGACCCACGGCUGGAGGAGCUGCCCAAGCUGGGACAGCCACCAUGAACUAACUCACCCCAGCUUUCUGCUUCUGUUUCACUGAUUUAAAAUUAAACUUUAGCUCCACGGUGGUGGCUUUUUGUUUGGCCUUUUUUUUUCCCCCUGUGGUCACUUUGGGAGUUUUUAAACCACUGCUCACACAGUGCCUAUGGUUUCUUAAUCUUCACUGGAAGGUCAAGUGGCUCCGCUGAAACCCCUUAAAGAGCAGUUUGGAAGUAAAUAAAGGAGAAGUGAGCCAAGGCAAGGCACAGGCUUUGACGUCUCCUGAGAAGUCACAAGCUGCAGGUCAGAUCUUGCACUGAAAUUUGAGAGUCAAAACUUUGGUGUGAGGUUUUAACUUGUGAGAGCCAUUAAAAAUCACCUGCUUAUCCAUUAAAAAUAGCCCGACUUGGUCCAUAGAAUGUGACCCACCUCAUAAAGAUCUCUCUUUGGUCCACGUUCAUAGCUAACUUUACUAAAAGAAACACUUUUCAGUUUCCCCAGGAGAAAUUUUAGGCUGCAAAGUUCUGCAGGAUAUGGUUUCAAAAGCAGUUUCUGGGGGAAUUGGGGCAGACAGCUCUCUGGACAGAAACACUUCAUGGUUUUGGGGAUGCAUUUGUGUAGGAUGCAAAAUAGGAGGGUUUUUUUUAUUUUUAGGCUUUGUGAUCACUUGCACUGACAAUAAAAAGUGCCUCCUGCAGACAAAGGAUGCCGUCACAGGAACAUUCGCUGGCAGAACAAGCUCCUAACACAGUUCCUGAUCUUCCUGCCUUCAGCUGCAAUUCAGCUGUGCCAAUACAUCCAGGGCAGUAAGGGAAACCUCUUUGGGUUUGAUUGUGGGUUGUUUUUUGUUUGUUUGGGGAGGUUGUUUGUUUGCUUUUUUAACACGGCUCAAUUUGGAAACAUUAACAACAUCAGUCCAGGUGGGUAUUCUGAACAGGAGGGGUAAUUCCAGUAGAGCUCAACCACCCAUUUCUGCAGACCUUUGUCAGGAGGAGCAGCCAAAUCUGCUUCAGCUGCAGCAAGCAACAAUAAAAUCUUACAGAUGACCUGCAAACAGAUUUUUCUGGGCGGCGGGGGGGAAGGCAAAGCAGAAGGAAGAGAGGAGGAGACUGAAUUCCUCGGAGCUCCAGCCAGCCAUCUGUGAUUUCAAAGGAUCCAAACCUACUGCUAGAAGAAAUCCUCUAACUGCAAGUUGUGAUUAGAAAUUUCAAAGCUGUGGGCGGGGGGCUGGGAUGGAUGUUAAUUUUAGUACCCGGGGCUUUCUCUCAGCUUAACUCUUUCCUGGCCCUGCAGUGAAGCAGCCUGGAGUGUGUCAGUGUCAGACCUAAACGAGCCCGCGGGGGAUGCUGCACCUUCAGCCAGCAGCACGGCUGAGCUGUGCCUAAGCCAAAAUUCGGGAAGAGGUAAUUUCAUGGAGGCUGGGAGCUGGAGAGGGCCCUUGCCACUUGUCUGUGUGACUCACCCCCAGCUCACUCCCACAGCCUGCUACAAAGGCAAGCCUGUGAGAUAUUUUGGCAGCGUCGCUCACGUACAUCAUAUGCUCGCCACUUCUUUUCCUCCAACCAGAUUUUCCCUGGGAGUGCAAAUAAAGCUGACCUCAUUUUAGUGCUGGUUUUCCAAACGGAUGAAUUUUUCCAAACAUCUUAAAGGAACCUGCCAGCUAAAACCACGGGUCGGCAACAGCAAAAAGAGAAGGCAGAGCAAUGUUUUGAUGGGAGGGAAGGGAGGAGUUUUAAGUCUGUUUUGAAAGAGAAAUCCCAGGGUCCAUUUAGCAGCAAGGAAGGAGGAGCAGGAGCCCUCUGGAAAGGGCUCCACCACAAACUGGAUUAGUUUUAACAAAUCUUUGCUUUACUUUGUUCCACCAGCCUCGUGACUGACACCAGGGGUUUGCUGUUUAAGGGAAGCUAAAACGGUAUUUUCCAAAGUAGGGCCUUUUAAAAAACAAGGUAGAAGAUGAACUCCUGACUGAACUUUCAGACAAUGUCACCAUUCUUCCCUCCUGGCAGGAUGGGCACGAUUCCAGCCCCAUGCCCGAACUACUCCCUGUUCUAACGGCUCUGUUUGGAAAUGCCAAGGGAGGGGGUCUGCAUUUGCUUUUUGCCUAACAACUGCCAAGAUGAGUCCAUUCAGGCAGCCUUUGCCCAGAAAGGCCUUUGGUCAGUAAUGGCUUAAAUGUUCUGUGCCACAGCUCCUGAGUGAUGCAAACAAGCUGCUUGAAUCACAGCUCCCUCCCUUCUGGGGCAGCGUGUGGAAACACAUGGAGCACACUGUGGAUAAAAGGUAAAGCCGGAAUGCAGCCCUGGGAGAGCAGCUCCAGCUGCACAACGGAUGUGUUUGAUGCAGAGAGGGGAUGAAACUCAAUACAUUUUAAUGAGUUCUGCUGCGAGAUUUUGGUUUAUUUGAACCUAAAAAUCAAAGGAAAAUGUAAACUCCUCACAAUGUGCUUAUUAAAAUCAGCCAAAAGACUGAUUUUGGUAGGAAUGGGCCCUGCUAUUGUUCGGCAGCAGAUCCCAAGGCUUGGGAACAGCCCUGCUGCCAGGUCAGGAAUGUGAGCCUUUACUGUGUGCACUGGGGUGUCACAUCAAGGGCGGGGACAAUUAGUGGUCACAUGCUGAACAGGUGGUGCCACCUCCUUGUCCAGAACUGAAGCACCAGACAGGAAUAAAGCAAAGAAACAUGAGCAUUUGCUGAAAUGAUCCCCAUUUUUAUGGUUUUUUUUCAACCUAAAUAAAUCCAAGAAAGCCAUGGCUGGCCCUGUACCAAGCUGUCUGUACACCAUGAGCACAGCUCCCAGUGAUGACCAACCAAGGUUUACACAGCAGCCUCUGGGUUCUGCUUUGGGACCCUCUGGCUCUUUUGGGGACAACAUCCAGGAUCAGAAGGGAACACCUGGGAACCCUCUGAGAAACCCUCUGAGGGUGCUGCUGUUGAAGAGCCACCAGGCCAUGGGCCUGAGGGAGCCAUAGCAGCUCCUAAAGAGUAUCACCAGCUGCCCCCUAAUCAGGGAGGGUGAGGCACCCUGGCAGCAGCACCUGGGCAAGGGCUAUAUAAGGGGCAACUCGAGACACCACCACUUUUUGCAGGUUGUGGCGAAGGAAGGAGGGACUCAGGUAGGCCUGUUCCAGUAUAACCAGUCUCAGGUUUGGUGUGGCACACCGUGGGGCAGUUUGGCCUCUCCCUUGCAGAGGAUUUUUUGUCUUGCAGGAGCCGUGGCGCCGAGUGAAGAGUUUUUAGGAGGAAGCAAGCAGGCUGCACAACAACAGCAGAGGAGCUUUAUGGGAGAUGGAUGGGACCUUGUCUGGGACUCAGCAGCCGGGAGAGCCUCAGCCCCCCUUUGCAAUACAGAAGCAGGCAGUGUCCACUUCCAUCCUCAAGGAGCAUGUGUGCAAGGGGAAGCUUCUUCCACCAGGCCCUGAGGGAGGGCACCUUCCACCACAUGGACACUGCUCCAGGCCUCGCUUCAGUCCCUGCAUGAGCUCUGCUGAGAAGCAGGUCAGCACAGAAGAGUUGGAAUGGAAAAGGCAUGAAACAACCCACGGCAAUCUCGUCCCUUUGAGCAGACCCCUGAAAUGAAUUUAUGGAACACCCCUUUGAAGAUGGAUUUGCAGAAGGCAACGUUGCUCUUCCUUCAAGGAAACUUAAUCUCUGCAAAUGAAGUACGUGAAGAGAACAGAACAAAACCGGGGGCCCACAGGGAAGCCGGAGAGAGACUUCAUCAGGUAAACCGGAACUUAUGUUCCACUAUGUUGGAGGAGGACGAACAGCCACGUUCCAUAUCCGUGGUGGCAAAAUACACUUCAGAAUGUGGGGAGAAAUAAAAGGAGUGACCGCCCAGGGCUUUUGGAGAACAGAGACUGGAGCCGAGAGCCUCAUCCUGUAAAUGUCACCUGGAUGUUGUCACUGCGUGGAACCAGUCGGAAGUCGGUUCUUCCACUCACAAUUGUUAACAAUUAAUUUUUCAAACUGGAGCAGACCCACAGCUCCCACUUCAGAAGCCACAAUGGCUUUUGUCCCCCCCCCAAAAAUCAGCCGGUGCGCCGGUUCAUUCACCGUGUGAUGGGAGGGAUGCUCAGGUGCAGCUGGUGGUACCUACAGGAGCGCUGGCCCCCGUCAGGAAUCACCCUGAGGAAAAGUCGUGCGUGUUUACGGGAAUCUCGGAGCGCUUGGCAUCCAAACAAACUCGAAGGAAGCGUU